CAGUUCUUUGUCUAGAACUCCAGGUCACGUGGGCCCCGCUGGAGGGCCUGGUUGGCUGCGCACGGGCCGGGGGAGGGGGCCGGCCUCCGACGCUGGCGGCGGGCCAGCCCCUCUCCGGGUCCGAGGGGCGCGGAGGCCCGGGGGUGAGGCCGGCCUGCGCCCGUUCCCAGCGCCCCGCCCCGGCCGGCUCGCCCUGCCCCCUCUCCGCGACUCCGGAGGCGAUUAGCGCGGGCCCCGAGCGAGGCGGGGAGCCCGCGGGCGUCGGGGAGGAGGGCGCCGGGCCGGGGUGCGGCUGCGGGCCCCGGGGACCCCAGCGUCCCCGGGGGGCGGGAGCGGAGCCUUCCGGAGAGUCUGGGAGAGUCAGGAGAAAGUUGGAGAAAGUGAGUUCCGCAGAAGCACGACCAAAGCAAGGAAGAGAGAAACCUUACAGAUAAGAGGCGCGGGCCAGGAGUUUAGGGAAACGCAGAGCGUAUAGGCGGAGGCGGACAGAAGGCGCCCGACGGAAACCGCCAGCUCCCAAACGAGGGCCGAUCUGGCCCAGGUGGACAGGGAGCUGGGCCUCGCCAAGGCCGACUGAGACGCUGCGGAGCCCUCUCUGGCCACGUCGGGGCCGGGGGCCGGUCACGCUGGCUCCUGUGGAGCACAGGAUCUCACGUUCAGGGUGCAAGGCUGGGGAUGAGGACGCUUCUUCACGGGGACAGCAGUGCCUUCGUGCCCAGCGCGGUCCGGGCGGCUCAGGACGACUUUACGGCUCCUGAGGCCUCCAGAAGCAGGCUCGGUCCCCGCGGCGGACAGUCCCCUUCCACCGCUGUCCCUUAGCGAUGACAUCAGCUCCCUGCAGACCAGCGCCCUGGGGACAACCAGAGAACCAACUCCACAGGCAGCUGGGACAUCAGAGCAGGAGAGCCCCUGAGAGGAGAGGAAUCCAAAUCCGGUGGCCUUCUCCGGAGAGAACUGGCAGACAAGACAUAAACGUCCCUGCCAACCCUGGAUGCACACACAAGAAGGAGCCAUCCUGAAAAAACACAGGCUGGCUUCCGCCCCAACUCAUCUUGCAGAUCAGUCAAGUUGCUUUCAGAGGAUGCUAAAAGGAGGAACUCCUGGAUGAAAAGAAGAUGGGAAUGUCAAGAGCCUACAAGAGGUGCUGGAGAGAAGGGGCCAGCGUGGCCCAACAGAGGGUAACCUCACAGGCAGGGUGCAUUUCUGUCUGGCAGGCAGCCGGCAGUAACUCAACAGGCCAUCAACGCUGAUCAAGACGCCUCUGGGGUCACCUGACCCAGCCCCAACCCCAUACUCCUCAAGCACAUGUCUAAUUCUGAUUACAUUCUCCAGUUACUCUCCAACCAGUGAGUUGCCAGAAAACAACACAGCAAGUGUUGUGAUCGACCCUUCUAAAAAGGACUCGUCCUGUUAGAAGUUGGUCGCUUCACCCUCUGGUGUACUUCACCCUUCUUAACUACGAGCGUAAUCACAAGUGUGCAGACUUGGCUUUCCAGUCCUACAGAACUGAGGUGAGACCCUAGGCCCCAGACCCCACCAAAAAGCGGUAACACCUAAAGGUCUGGGGGCAACAGUCAUGCCUGCUUGACUAGUUUUAACUACAAGUUCAGCACUCUAGCGUGUCUUCUCAUAUAAUGCCAUCCUGGCAGGGUGAGUGCUGCCACCCAUUACCACCCAAGUCCCCUCACUCAAAGGCAGAGAAGCCACAGCCCUGUGAAGCCACCUGCAAAUCAAGGCAUCUGCUGCACACAUCACCGGCCUCCCACCAGGGAGAUCAGUCCAGACAAAAGGCCACACAGUCAGUGGGGGUGUCUACUCUGAGCCUGUCCUCCUUCCGCCUACAGCUCAGAAGCCUCAGUGCCAACUGAGUAUCUGUGUUUCAUCCAGGGCUCCCACAAACCUGGAAGCCUCGGGGAUACAUGCACAGCCCGUGCUCAGCAACCCACCUGCUGUUCCUCAUGCCGUUCCCUCAACUUCCACCAGCCCCCAUCCUACCCGUCCUGCUACAUCAGUUCACCAAUUACUUCCCCCAAGAAAGUUUCUCUAGCCCUGCCCUGUCCACUGAGGUAGCUGCUAGGCUGCAUGUGGCUAUUUUUCUUCUUUUUUUUUUUUUUUAGGUACCAGGGAUUGAACUCAGGACCUUGCACUUGCAAG